AGAGUUUGAUCCUGGCUCAGGAUGAACGCUGGCGGCGUGCCUAAUACAUGCAAGUCGAGCGAACGGACGAGAAGCUUGCUUCUCUGAUGUUAGCGGCGGACGGGUGAGUAACACGUGGAUAACCUACCUAUAAGACUGGGAUAACUUCGGGAAACCGGAGCUAAUACCGGAUAAUAUUUUGAACCGCAUGGUUCAAAAGUGAAAGACGGUCUUGCUGUCACUUAUAGAUGGAUCCGCGCUGCAUUAGCUAGUUGGUAAGGUAACGGCUUACCAAGGCAACGAUGCAUAGCCGACCUGAGAGGGUGAUCGGCCACACUGGAACUGAGACACGGUCCAGACUCCUACGGGAGGCAGCAGUAGGGAAUCUUCCGCAAUGGGCGAAAGCCUGACGGAGCAACGCCGCGUGAGUGAUGAAGGUCUUCGGAUCGUAAAACUCUGUUAUUAGGGAAGAACAUAUGUGUAAGUAACUGUGCACAUCUUGACGGUACCUAAUCAGAAAGCCACGGCUAACUACGUGCCAGCAGCCGCGGUAAUACGUAGGUGGCAAGCGUUAUCCGGAAUUAUUGGGCGUAAAGCGCGCGUAGGCGGUUUUUUAAGUCUGAUGUGAAAGCCCACGGCUCAACCGUGGAGGGUCAUUGGAAACUGGAAAACUUGAGUGCAGAAGAGGAAAGUGGAAUUCCAUGUGUAGCGGUGAAAUGCGCAGAGAUAUGGAGGAACACCAGUGGCGAAGGCGACUUUCUGGUCUGUAACUGACGCUGAUGUGCGAAAGCGUGGGGAUCAAACAGGAUUAGAUACCCUGGUAGUCCACGCCGUAAACGAUGAGUGCUAAGUGUUAGGGGGUUUCCGCCCCUUAGUGCUGCAGCUAACGCAUUAAGCACUCCGCCUGGGGAGUACGACCGCAAGGUUGAAACUCAAAGGAAUUGACGGGGACCCGCACAAGCGGUGGAGCAUGUGGUUUAAUUCGAAGCAACGCGAAGAACCUUACCAAAUCUUGACAUCCUUUGACAACUCUANCAGGAAUCAUUAUGUUGCUUUCUCGUUAUAUACCAAUUAUUUUGCAAUUAAUGAUUGCAUCAAGUUUAGUGAAUAAAAAAUCAUACCAUCAAGAUAAAUAUACAAUAGCGAUUGAUAAACCUUAUUUUGGCGUAUCACUAAUCGUAUUUAUCGUUUUACUAAGUGGUUUGACAUUUAUUCCAGUACUAUUACUUGGUCCUAUUGGUGAAUUUUUAACUUUAAAAUAAAGUAAAGGGAUGGAAAAAAUGCAUCAUGUAAAUAAAUAUUUCAAUCAAACAAUGGUGAUAGAAGCUUUGAAAAUGAGUUUUUAUAAGCUGAAUCCUAAACAAUUAAUAAAAAAUCCGAUAAUGUUUGUCGUUGAGGUUGGAAUGAUUUUAACGUUGAUAUUAAUAUGUUUUCCUGACAUAUUUGGAACUAGUUAUCUAUCGCGAGGUUAUUUGAUUACAAUUUUUAUCAUAUUAUUAAUAACUAUAUUGUUUGCUAAUUUUUCAGAAGCCUUUGCUGAAGGUCGUGGAAAAGCGCAAGCUGAUAGUUUAAGACAAGCACAAUCAAAUUUAACUGCUCGAUUGAUAGAAGAAAAUGGUGCGUAUCGGAUAGUGAACGCCACAGAGUUAAAAGCCGGACAAAAUAUUCGGGUAGAAAAUGGAGAAACAAUCCCUGCUGAUGGCGUUGUAAUAAAUGGAUUAGCAACCGUUGAUGAAUCUGCAAUUACUGGUGAGUCUGCACCUGUGAUAAAAGAAUCAGGUGGCGAUUUUGAUGGAGUCAUUGGCGGUACACUUGUAACAUCUGAUUGGUUAGAAAUACGUGUUGAGAGUGAAGCGGGUACAUCUUUUUUAGAUAAAAUGAUUGCCUUAGUUGAAGGGGCGGAAAGAAAUAAAACACCAAAUGAAAUUGCACUUUUUACAUUAUUAACAACGUUAACAAUUAUAUUUUUAGUCGUUAUUGUAACGUUAUAUCCAAUAGCAUCUUACCUGCAUUUAAUUUUACCUAUUGCGAUGCUCAUUGCGUUAACAGUAUGUUUAAUACCAACGACAAUCGGUGGUUUGUUAUCGGCGAUUGGUAUUGCAGGCAUGGAUCGUGUUACUCAAUUCAAUGUAUUAGCGAAAAGUGGGCGUGCUGUAGAAGUAUGUGGAGAUGUCGAUGUAAUGAUUUUAGACAAGACAGGCACAAUCACUUAUGGCAAUCGAAUCGCUAGUGAAUUUUUACCAGUGAAUCAACAAAUGCUGGAAAAAUUGAUAGUCGCUGCUUAUAUGUCAUCAAUCUACGAUGAUACGCCAGAAGGAAAAAGUAUUGUACGAUUAGCGAAGCAGAUGUAUAUAAAUGAGCUGCCUAAAGACAUUGAUGGCACAUAUAAGCCUUUUACAGCUGAAACUAGAAUGAGCGGAAUCAUUACAAAUGAAAUAUCGGUAUUCAAAGGUGCACCUAAUAGUAUGAUAAAUCUUGUCAAACAACAACAAGGCAAUAUUCCUCUUAACAUUGAGUCUCUCUGUAUGGAUGUAUCGAGUAAAGGUGGCACACCAUUAAUAGUCAUUGAAAACAAUGUCAUGCUUGGCGUGAUUUAUUUAAAAGAUGUGAUUAAAGAUGGUCUUGUAGAACGAUUUACUGAAUUGAGAAAAAUGGGGAUUGAAACAGUUAUGUGUACAGGUGAUAAUGCUUUAACAGCAGCUACAAUUGCAAAAGAAGCCGGGGUUGAUAGAUUUGUUGCAGAGUGUAAACCCGAAGAUAAAAUUAAAGUCAUCAAAGAUGAACAAGCGAAAGGCCAUAUUGUUGCGAUGACAGGAGAUGGUACAAAUGAUGCACCUGCGCUAGCACAAGCGAAUAUAGGAUUAGCAAUGAACUCAGGGACAAUUAGUGCUAAAGAGGCAGCUAAUCUAAUUGAUUUAGAUUCGAAUCCUACAAAGUUAAUAGAGGUUGUAAAAAUAGGCAAACAAUUAUUAAUGACGAGAGGUGCAUUAACGACAUUUAGUUUGGCUAAUGACGUAGCAAAAUACUUUGCAAUUUUACCUGCACUAAUGAUGUCAACAAUUCCAGAAAUGACUUCACUAAAUAUUAUGCAUUUAUCGUCACCUAAAUCUGCAAUUAUAUCAGCU
rnacentral:rRNA from 1 species